AUCCUUCGGUUCAUAAGCGUCACGAUUGGGUGUUCAUGCUCCUGUGUGAGAUGUGCCUCCCUCUAAACCUUGUUACGACAUGGCAUAUUACCUGUCUGGCG